ACUGUAUGUAUGUGUGUUUGAGUGCUUGCGAACGGGGACGAGAAUGUCAUGUUUACACAACCUGACAGGGAAAUUUUUCGCAGAGGAAAAAUGCUCAGCCACGAGGACAUCUCUGCAUCCACGGAAUUUGAAAAGAUAAGCGUUCUCCAAAAAAUAACCUCAUAGAUGUGACAGAUCUGGGUCUCCACCGGUGUGGAACAAUUGUCUCAGAUUUGUCCAAGCGGUGCCACAACAUCUCGCUAUCAUGUUUCAUAGAGUCAAGCUGUUGCUGCUGUGUCUGCUAGUUUCACUACUUAACAUUACUACUGUGCACCUAGCUUUUGAAAUCUAUGAAAAAUGGCAUUGUCGUCUCUUUUAAGAUAUACAGACAUGGUGUAGGUAAGCUGAUGCUUAUAUAUGAUUCUGGUCAUCAUGAUUUUAGUUUAUGGAACCGAAAGCAUCAGCUCUUUUAACAACUACACUGCCAGACCAUUGUAAUAAAGAUUAUUCUCAUGUCAUGUGAUUUAUCUGAUUCAGGUCAGCCAUUCCAGAGGACCGUCUGUGUUUUGCAACAUCUCCUACUAAUUAACCGGAAUUUAUGUAACAACACGCUUGCGACCCGAGUGAGGAUAAGCGGUACAGAAAAUGGGUGGAUGUUUUAUCGCGUCAAAUGGUUUAUAUAACUUGACUUCCUGUGUUAAGAAUGUAGCCUUUUAUUUUGAAGGGUUGGCACCAGAACUCAGCAUUUUGGCACAAAAAAUAACUUCACACGACACCGGUAAAAACGAAAGUAAAACGAAAAUGAGUAAUGGAUGGAACCAAAUGCUCUGUAAAACGUUAAUUCCUUUACCUACCCACCGAUGAAACACAAGUGCUCCUUCCGUGUCUCCGGCCUCGCUGUCCGCGCCAGCCACGCCGCCAAGCUAUUCCACCUGCCCAUGCUUUCGCUUCCUACACCUUCCCUGUUCCAACUGACCACCAUCGCCCCUCGGAUAUCCUACCCACUGAGCAAUUACUUAAUAAACCAUUCUCAUCAAUA